rnacentral:rRNA from 1 species
GUGUCUAGUUAGUCGGAUGGUUCUUUAUUCAGUCGUAUUUAUUAAUAGUUGGUAUUUUAAAAUAUUUAUUAAAUUAGGCUGCAAGGGGGUAUGUAUGCAUGUGCUAAUGCUCGUACCAUAGUGGUAGCUGUAAGAGUGUAGGUCCUUUCCGUGUUUAACACCUGGAUGUUCUUUGGGCGAAAUUUUAGUUAAUCCAGUGCUAGUGGGUCUACUGGUUGCCACCGGAGAGGUAAAAGUUUUUGCUGAAAUUGGGCAUAACUUCACUUGUCACCGAUGAUAUAUUGAUACCGUGCCGAGCUGAUGUUAGUAGAGCAGAAAAUACGCAAAGUAGUACAUUUUAAAUGUAUUUCUGCAAUAUUCUUGCCCUGUUGGACCAGCCGCAGCGGGUAAGGCAGUAAGUAGUCUAGCAAUAGAAGAGGGGCAUACUAUUCUUACAUAUGUACUGUGGAAUGGUAAUAAUAGUUAAAUUACGAAUUCUAUAUAAUACAUUAUAUAAUAAGAACAGAAUAAAAAAGAGGGGGAGAAGAAAUGAUGCGGGCUAGUACUUGUCGUCGUCAGGGAAUAGAGAUAUGGAUGUGAUCCAAGUUCCAAGUUCCUAGAAUAUGACUAGACUAACUCACACACAAAUCCCGGAACAGAGGCUGAACCUCAGCAGAUCGUAGCACAAAGGCUACUCUCAUGCUUACAGUACCACGUUCCUUUUAAGUCGUCUACAGAGGAUUUAACUCGACCAAAAUUUUGUAUUAUGGUUAAAUAUCGUGUUGACAAAAGCUAUCGUAACUCCAACACCGGUCAAGGUGAGUAUCGUCACUGCCAGCAUGGAUUCUGACUUAGAGGCGUUCAGUCAUAAUCCUACAGAUGGUAGCUUUGCGGCAUUGGCUGCUCAGCCAACCGCAUUACCAAAUAUCUGAACCACCGGUUCCUCUCGUACUAAGGUGGAUUACUGUCGUG